rnacentral:rRNA from 1 species
CCUACGGGUGGCAGCAGUGAGGAAUAUUGGGCAAUGGACGGAAGCCUGAACCAGCCAUGCCGCGUGCAGGAAGACGGCCCUAUGAGUUGUAAACUCCUUUUGCACAAGGGUAAACCUGAAUACGUGUAUUCAGCUGAAAGUACUGUACGAAUAAGGAUCGGCUAACUCCGUGCCAGCAGCCGCGGUAAUACGGAGGAGCCAAGCGUUAUCCGGAUUUAUGGGGUGUAAAGGGUGAGUAGGCGGAUUGAUAAGUUAGAGGUGAAAUGUCCGAGCUUAACUCGGGAACUGCCUUUAAUACUGUUGAUCUAGAGAGUAGAUGAGGAAGGCGGAAUGUCUGGUGUAGCGGUGAAAUGCGUAGAGAUCA